GAUAAACGCUAGCGGCAGGCUUAACACAUGCAAGUCGAGGGGCAGCUUAGAUUGUAGCAAUACAAUUGGUGGCGACCGGCGCACGGGUGCGUAACGCGUAUGCAACCUACCCGUCACAGGGGGAUAAUCCGGAGAAAUCUGGUCUAAUACCCCAUAACAUAUGGAUCGGCAUCGGUUCAUGUUGAAAUUUUCGGAGGUGACGGAUGGGCAUGCGUAGCAUUAGCUUGUUGGUGAGGUAACGGCUCACCAAGGCGACGAUGCUUAGGGGGACUGAGAGGUUUUCCCCCCACACUGGUACUGAGACACGGACCAGACUCCUACGGGAGGCAGCAGUGAGGAAUAUUGGUCAAUGGGCGCAAGCCUGAACCAGCCAUGCCGCGUGCAGGAUGACGGCUAUAUGAGUUGUAAACUGCUUUUGUACGAGGGUAAAGUGGGUUACGUGUAACCUUUUGAAAGUAUCGUACGAAUAAGGAUCGGCUAACUCCGUGCCAGCCGCCGCGGUAA
rnacentral:rRNA from 1 species